UCCUCCACAUAGUUGGGAGGGGGAGAAUUGUUGGGUCAUGGGCCUUUGUCCCUUCCUAUGUGGAUAAAAUGUAGCCCAAUUUAUUGGACCAGCCCACUUUUCCCAUAGCCCAAUUAUAUGGGGAAUAUAUAUUGACCUUUUCAGGUCUUAUUCUGAACAUACACAGAAAAAACUUCUUCAGCCACACUAAAAAAGGAUCAGAGAGUUCAGAUUUUCGCCUAGAAAAAUUCAGCCACAGUAGUCAUCUUUAAACUGCGAUUCCCGCUUCGUUUCUUGUCUGAUUGAGCUGAUUUUUGGAUUGCAUAUUCCUAUCAUCUCGAUCUUUGAUUAGGAAUUGGAAGAGUUUGAUUUGGUGGCCUGUGGCUUCUGUUUUUCAUCUCUGAACAACAGCUACGUUUUUGACUUGAAUGUGUAAUUCUCAAUUACUUGUCUCAGGGAGGUCUCUAUCAGACUAUUGAGGCUUUCUCCAACGAAAUUCAGGUUAAUCAAAAUUAUGAUGCCAUUAAUUCUCCCCACGAAGCAUUUCUGCUAGCUUGGUGGAGUAAAUUCUAUAAAGCAUACUAAUCGAAGUUCCCUGAGGAGGCUGCAUUGGCCACUGAUUCCUUUAUUAAGGUCGCGCAGAUGGUGGAACAUGUUGUGGCAAUUAACAGUUUGCUUCAUGGUAGUCCAUCCGUCACCACUAACAGUUCUAAUAUAUAUAUAACAAUUACAUGUAGAGAAAAGAAGGACACACUUACAAGGAGGUUUGGGCCACAGGUGACAAAAGAGUUUUAAAAUGAGGUGUAGGUGACACAAGUCUUAAUUAUUAGUUGGAGGUGACAAUUACUUUAUUAUGGAUUAAGAAAGUUGGAAAAGUUUGAAAAUAGCCCACAAGUUUUUAAAUUUAUACUUUGAUCUCAAUGUUUAUCUAAAAUAACAGAAAACGGAGGGGGAAAAAGGCGUCUUUCUCUCUCUUAUUGUUCAUUUCUUCUUCUGCUUUAUUCAUCAUCUUCUGCUUCAUUAU